CAGCGCAAUCGAUUACACUAUCACUUGGAAUUUCACCCUCGCCACUUUCCGUGCAAUCUUUUAUCACGUUGCUCAUCCAAUUCCAAUCAUCCCAUUCGCUAGAGUAAUCAAUGUUUCGGUUCUCCAUUUCCCAGGCAACAGGAGUAUCAAGAAUUUUGUAUCAAAACGAAGGAAAGGGAGCCUUUUUACUGGAAGAAAAUAAGACUGAUCACACAUUGGAGCUAUCGUUAUUGUCAUAAAAAUGUUUCUUUUUUCGUUUUGUUUUUAUGUACAUCACAGCACGAAUCGUAGUUACUUUCGUGCAUUAUAAUGUUCUCCUAAGGAAGAAAAAAAAAAAAUGAGAAAUAGAAAAAAGAAAUCACGUAAGAAACCAUGUUAGAUUCUCUUGAACUACAAAUAUGUUUUAACAAAAACCAUUGAAAAUUUUUUUUCCGUUAAUAAUCUUCAAUAAGACGACGUCAUUGCAAAGAGGAGAACGACGACCGUCAGAUGAAGCUGAUGAACCGAUCGAAAAUAUCGCGUGCUCGUAGCAUCGCUCUGUGCGUCCAGUUGGGUCGGUGCGGAAUGUGCGGGCGCAGGUGCCGGCGCUGGAUAAGGGGAAGAAGAAGACGAAGAGGAUGAAGAGGAGGAGGAGGAGGAGGAGGAGGAGGAGGAUAAAACUUUAGAAUUCUUUGUGAGGACGACACUUGGCAACGGACGUUUGAUGUUUAUUCCUUGAAACUCACCGUUGUCCUUGUACCACGUGUUCGAGGCCUUAGGCGAAGAUUCUACAUAACAUUGCAGAAUAACGUUGCUAUUCGUCGGUGCAGCCACCAAUUGAUUCGUCACUUUGAUCAAGGGCUUAACUAUUUUAAAGGAAAAUCGCGGGAAUCGCUGGUACGAUGGAGAUACCGGCCUGGUAUACACUCUCGCGACGCAAUGUACACACUGAAUAUUGCAAUCGGAUAGGCGAAGAGUCGAUGGGCUUGGCAGAGAGGAAAUAUAUGUAAAGUCAACAUCCAUCACUCACUGUUAGAAAGGCUAAUCGGAUGGCUGCUUUUCUGCGGGACAUCGUGAACCUACUGGAGUCGGCCUUUUCAUCGCUACUCGAAAAAGUCUCGACGAUGAUGACUACAUGGAAAAUAUAUUGUCGUUGCAAAUCUAUCACGUCGUUGGCUUGUCCCCUUUUUAUUUAUAUAUAUAUAUAUAUUUUUUUUUUUCUUCUUUUUUCUUCUUUUUCGUGAAAACCGAAUAGGAAAUUUUUAUCGUAAAAAAAAAAAAAAAAGAAAGAAAAAGAAAGUCGCCGUCGUAUCGCGAAAUAAAAAGGAGAUACAGUUUAUUAAUGAUUCGAACGAUUAGAUUCCGUAUGAACGAGUAUUAAUAUUUUUUAUUUAUUUAUUCAUUUAUUUAUUUAUUUAUUAACCUUUUUUUCACACAUUCGCGCGCGAUAAUAAACGAAAAGCAUGUAGGGUCUGUUAAUACGUUAUCGAGUUAAUUCACAAUCGGUAGAUAAAGUGCCAAUAAAGAUUUUUAAUUUAAUAACGAGACACAAUCAGCUUGGAACGCAUUACUUUUUCCAUAUAAUAAUGAUAAUAUCGUAUGUAAUUGGUCAACAAUGUGUUUAACAUUCUCUCACUUUCUUCCUUCCUUCCUUCCUUUCUUUCUUUUAGUAAAUUUGUUUGAUCUUGUAAAGCAUGUAUACGUCAUUCAUAAUCAACAUAUACCUUGUAUCUCUAUAUACAGUUGUAUAUGGACGGAUAAAGGGAAAGUAAGAGAAGAUACCUCGUUUAACACCUA